UUAAUCUGUGUUUUACAGAUGUUCAAUAUUUUGCAAAGAUUUUUGAAAUGGUACAGAUUUCCACAGUUUUCUGUUAUAAUGAACAUACUAGCACAGAUUUCUCAAUUUUUAGUACCUCGUGUAACAAGAAACUAUAAAAAAGGUCUUGGCGGCUUCUUAAUUUGAGACAAAACCCGCCAGAUUUUUACAAAUGCUGCGCACGGAUAUAAAAAUAUUACCUGGCAGCCAUGUUUGAGUUUGUCAAAAAUAUUGUUUUGAUAUGAGUGAACUCUCUCUUAGCCGUCCGCAAGUGACACAACAAGGAACUUUCUGCUAAAAUGAAAAGAAACUAAAAUAUUAAUCCACAUUAUUUUUUUCUGUUGCACGUAGGCACGGAAGAGCCUAAAAGAUAAUAUUAACAUAUGUUCGAUGUAACGGUGAGCGUAUUCAGGUCAAUGAAAUGGCAUUUAAGAACAGUAAUAAGCAAACAUUGGAACUUGAUAGCUAUUGGUGUUACGUUUUUUUCGUAAUACUCGUUUCAGCCAAUGGUUCGGCCAAGCAAUUUCAGGAAUAUACACCGGCUCACCAGUGUUUUUCGAAUGACGGAAAGUUAAAUCGCUCCAGCAGGCACCGCAGGCACCAGCAUACAUCUCGAUCGGGUGUGAUUAGCCAAAAUAACUGCAAUGUACAAUCAACAGAAGACUAUUGACAACGUUCCGUGGUGCGUCAACUGAAAUUACAGUGUAUAUUACAUUUGUGAUACUAAGCACCAAUAAAUGCCUUCUGGACCUGUAUGCCAGAACCGUGCCAUAUCUA